UACGGAGGGUGCGAGCGUUGUCCGGAAUUAUUGGGCGUAAAGAGCUCGUAGGUGGUCUGUUGCGUCUGCUGUGAAAUCCCAGGGCUCAACCCCGAGCCUGCAGUCGAUACGGGCAGGCUGGAGGCAGGCAGGGGAGAACGGAAUUCCCGGUGUAGCGGUGAAAUGCGCAGAUAUCGGGAGGAACACCGGUGGCGAAGGCGGUUCUCUGGGCCUGUACUGACGCUGAGGAGCGAAAGCGUGGGGAGCGAACAGG
rnacentral:rRNA from 1 species